GACUGGCGGGUGCUUACCUGCAGUCGAACGAUGAAGCCCAGCUUGCUGGGUGGAUUAGUGGCGAACGGGUGAGUAACACGUGAGUAACCUGCCCCUGACUCUGGGAUAAGCCCGGGAAACUGGGUCUAAUACCGGAUAUGACCAUGGGACGCAUGUCUUGUGGUGGAAAGAUUUAUCGGUUGGGGAUGGACUCGCGGCCUAUCAGCUUGUUGGUGAGGUAAUGGCUCACCAAGGCGACGACGGGUAGCCGGCCUGAGAGGGUGACCGGCCACACUGGGACUGAGACACGGCCCAGACUCCUACGGGAGGCAGCAGUGGGGAAUAUUGCACAAUGGGCGCAAGCCUGAUGCAGCGACGCCGCGUGAGGGAUGACGGCCUUCGGGUUGUAAACCUCUUUCAGUAGGGAAGAAGCGAGAGUGACGGUACCUGCAGAAGAAGCGCCGGCUAACUACGUGCCAGCAGCCGCGGUAAUACGUAGGGCGCAAGCGUUAUCCGGAUUUAUUGGGCGUAAAGAGCUCGUAGGCGGUUUGUCGCGUCUGCCGUGAAAGUCCGAGGCUCAACCUCGGAUCUGCGGUGGGUACGGGCAGACUAGAGUGAUGUAGGGGAGACUGGAAUUCCUGGUGUAGCGGUGAAAUGCGCAGAUAUCAGGAGGAACACCGAUGGCGAAGGCAGGUCUCUGGGCAUUUACUGACGCUGAGGAGCGAAAGCAUGGGGAGCGAACAGGAUUAGAUACCCUGGUAGUCCAUGCCGUAAACGUUGGGCACUAGGUGUGGGGGACAUUCCACGUUUUCCGCGCCGUAGCUAACGCAUUAAGUGCCCCGCCUGGGGAGUACGGCCGCAAGGCUAAAACUCAAAGGAAUUGACGGGGGCCCGCACAAGCGGCGGAGCAUGCGGAUUAAUUCGAUGCAACGCGAAGAACCUUACCAAGGCUUGACAUGUUCCAGACCGC
rnacentral:rRNA from 1 species